ACUUAUGUUUUUUCCGCUUUCUCUAAAACUUUCGAACCCUAGCUAAAUCUCACAAUUUGACUUCAACAGCUCAUUCACCUUGUCGACAUCGUUCUCCAAGCUGACCUGCGUCGAGUCCCCGACCUCCUUCUCCAACCUGACCUGCUCCAAGUCCCCGACUUCAUUCUCCAACCUAAGCCAACUGGAGCCGCCUCCGACCUGUCUCUCCCUCAUUAACCGCCUCCGACCUUAUUGUCUUUCAAGUCACAGAUCUGGUAGAGUCUUAUCGAAUCCAACCCACAAACCAAAAUGGGUGGUAUAGUCUUAUCAUAUUCAGCCAUAUUCUCUCAGAGCCAUAACGGGUUCAGUCUCGCCUUCUCUAGGAUCUCUCACAAUCCAAACCCCAAUUUCCCGAUCGAGUUCAGUGAGGUUGAAAUAGAGAUGGUAAAUGGUAAAGAGAUGAGUUCCAGUGAGUUUGUGGAGAGGUACUUGGAGAAUAACCAGCCUGUGGUGCUCAUAGGUCUCAUGGAUGAUUAGAGGGCUUGCAGAGAUUGGGUCACUGAUGAAGGCAAUCCCAAUCUUCAAUUUUUCGCUACCCAUUUUGGAAGAUCCAAAGUCCAGUGGCUCAGCCCCACCUCACUUCCCAAAUUUGAAGCGCCUGUCAUCAUCUUUUCAAUCACUCACCUCUCUUGAAUCCCUUAACAUUUGGGAUUGUCUGAAGCAAGCAUCUAUUAUUCCAGAAAAAGAGGAUCGUCUGCCUCUUUCACUUACACAGCUUCGCAUCUAUUUUUUCCAUAAGGGCUGUCCGCUGCUCCAUCAUAUAUACAUAUAUAUAUAUAUAUAUAUAUAUAUAUAUGUUUCAAGCUUCAAGCGUCAGAAUCAACUACACACUGUAUACACAACCACAAUCUCCUUCAUUUUAUUCAAUUCGUCACAAUCAGGUGAUUUAGUUCAGCUUUUGAUAACCUAGGGCAUGAUUGAUUGGCUUUGGAGUCCCAACCGGGCAAUCUAAGUGGUUGAUAAUGGGACAUAUUAGGCAAGAAAAUUGCAUUAUAUUGGCAAUUACUCCUGCCAACGCUGAUUUAGCCACCUCUGAUGCACUGCAACUUGCUAGAGAAGCUGACCCUACUGGUUUUCGUACCAUUGGUGUCAUCACCAAGCUGGAUAUAAUGGACAGGGGCACCGAUGCCAGCAACUUUUUGCUCGGGAAAGUUGUUCCCCUUAAGCUCGGUUAUGUUGGUGUUGUCAACUGUUGUCAGGAGGGCAGCAGCAAGUGAAAGGUGGAGAAAGUUGUUUGCAAUGAGAGCACCUCAAGAAUUUUGAUCUGGGCUUCUAGUUCUGGUUCAAGAUUGCCAGUCAAGACUAUGAUAGCCAGUGAGGUAUUUAAGCAUGCCGCUACCAUUUUAGGGUGUUGAACUUCUGGUAAGAAUAAAACUGGAGUUUUUUUAAGCUUGUUGUGGGAUUUUGCAUGCGUGUUGAAGUUCUUCGAGCGCGGUUGUAGGAACAAAGCAGGCUUCAGAACUAAAGGAGCAAAUUUUUUGGUAAAAUCAAUCUUCUAUUAUUUCUUUUCUUGUCAGUGACAAAUAGAGUGAAAUUGAGAUUGAGUGUACUUUUUGUGUAUUUGGUGUUCUCUGCUGGAGAACAAGAAGAUAAAAGAGAUAUCGUUGUAUAUUCAUAUGCAUUUUGUUUUAACUUCAUAUGACAAAUCACUAUAUCGAUUGGAGUCUUUGAAAUUAUUCACAGUCCAAGUUCAGAGGUAUUUCUUCUUCUUCUUUGCAUUGCUGCCUUUUGUGGAUGUAUGUGAUCUGCUUCAAAACCUAGCAUCAAUUCGAUCUGAAUUGGAUCCUUCUGCUGUAAAUUUGGGAUCUUUAAAUGCCUACUUCGGCUUUGGGUAGUUAGAGAUUUGGGAUCUGUUUUGUUGUUCAUAUAUCUAUCUGUCUGCAUUUAUGUACAUUUGAGGACAUUGAAUAUUUAGUGUGCAUACAUGUCUGUACUUAUACAAGAAGAAUAUUUAGUGUGCAUACAUGCAUUUCUCAUUUAGUUCUUUUCGGUUUGUGCUGCUAUCGAAUAUGGAUGAUCAAGAAGAAUUUGAAAUCCCGGAGGUUUAGGUUGAGGUCAAAUUACUAUAACUACUUGUUGGGAUUGUUGGCUAGUUACUCCACUGCUGAGCCUCUACUGAGGUUGGUGAUGGGUUUAUCACUUUUUAACCCGUCUAGAAAAACUGGCUUUGCUCCUUUUGAGAUGACUUCUUCAAUCAUUGAAGCUCUUUCUUGGUGCUCUAUGCUAAUUUUAAUUGGCUUGGAAACUAGGAUUUACAUUCGGGAAUUCCGAUGGUACGUAAGGUUUGGGGUCCUUUACGUCUUGGUAGGAGAUGUUGUGCUGCUAAAUCUUAUUCUUGGAGUGACAGAUUCCUACAGCAGCAAGGUUAUGCAUACAAGCUGGAGCUGCAGGAAUAAUUGUAUCCAAUCAUGGAGCUCGGCAACUAGAUUAUGUCCCUGCAACUAUUAUGGCUUUGGAAGAGUGGGCGGUAAAGGAUCGGAAAUGGUAUACCCAACAACAACUUGACGAGGUGUGCAUUGAAGUAGCCGACUACUUACAGACUGCUGUAGAUUCUGACCAGUUUCUUGAUUUUGAGUUAGACUAGCUUUUGAUUAACUUUUGUAUAGCAAUUAUGAACAAAAAUGAAUACUAAUUGCUAGGCUAGCCUUGUAGUAGGUGAGUUGGGGUUUUAUUUUGCCCAUUUUGUAAACUGUUUAGGAUGUGAUUUUAGAUAAAAUAUCCCAAUAUUCAAAUCACUUUUACUCUUGUUAA